CAAGUAAAUCCGUUCAUUUGAAGAGGCUGUAGCCUUGUCAACGGAAAGUUCCGAUGGUAUAUUUUACCGAUUUCCGGCGGCAUCCGUGGAGAUAACAGAAAAAGGAGAAGAAAGCAGUUUGGGCGAAGCCCAAGGGGGGGUAUGUCCCCCCCAACGAACAGAAACACUAAACAGUGAUAAGACUGAUAAGAAGUAUAUUCCUCCUUCGUUAAUCGUGAUUUUAGUUUAUCAAUCAUACUUAAAAGUAUUAGAAAAUGGUUGCUAUAAUAAUUUGAAAGAAGAACGAAGAGCUGAACCUCAGACCUCAGUUCAUGUGGAUUGAAAGAAAUAUGUAUAUACUCUAAAAGAAAAUCGCUGGUAACAUGUCAUUUUAUUAAAUCUAUCUAACAACAAAAUAGCCUUGAUUCGGUGAGUAAUCUAAGGGUUACUUCAGUCUAUGCGCUCAAAUAGUUACUUAUCAUUGGAAAUAGAACUAAUCUGGAGAAAGAUAGAACCGUACCUUAUCAUUGGAAAUAGAACUAAUCUGGAGAAAGAUAGAACCGUACCUUUAGAAUUAGCUGAACAGUAAUACAUACCUACGCCAAACAAGUUGGCUCAAAUCGCAAAACAUUAUCACUCGUGUCAGCAAGACUGAACUGUGGUAUAGAAGAAUAUUAUUCUUAGAAUUGACUCAGCUCAUGUUACAAUUUUACAAAAAGCCGAAAAGCAAAGUAAACCUGAAAGAAACCGCUCUCAGUAGCUAAAACGUAACGUUCAAAUAGUCAACAACGAAGAAGAAAAUAAUUUAUCACAGUAUAGAAAAUUCUGCGGUGGUCCAUCGCAUUGAUAUCAAAUCACUAAAUCAGUAUAUUGUAUGUUUUAUUAUUAGGUAUCAAUGUACCUAAGUACUUUACUUGGUAUAUCCAACUGUGUUAAUCUGUUAAUCCUUUAUUACAAAUUAAAUUUGCAUCGUGUUAGAAUAGCUAUAGAUACGAUGCAAUCUAUAGAUUUCGGAUGUGCUUAUUGAGUUGUCUCAUCCUUGAUCGAGUUGUAAUAUGUAGGAGUAAUUUAUCGUUGUACAAUGUACGUGCAUUGUUUAAAUUUUCUAUUUCCUAUUUUUAUGUUGUGCUUUUCCGCGAUUUUAAUUUUAUGUCAACGAUUUUUUAAAUUACAAGUAUAAGGUGAGUUGUUUAUUUUCAGACUCAUUCUGUUCUAUAUACACUACAGUUACCAUAAUACAUGAUCUUGUGCGUU